rnacentral:rRNA from 1 species
UACGUAGGGUGCAAGCGUUAAUCGGAAUUACUGGGCGUAAAGCGUGCGCAGGCGGUUUUGUAAGUUUGUCGUGAAAGCCCCGGGCUCAACCUGGGAAUGGCCGUUGAAACUGGCGAACUGGAGUGUGGCAGAGGGGGGUGGAAUUCCGCGUGUAGCAGUGAAAUGCGUAGAGAUGCGGAGGAACACCGAUGGCGAAGGCAGCCCCCUGGGCUGACACUGACGCUCAGGCACGAAAGCGUGGGGAGCAAACAGG